rnacentral:lncRNA from 10 species
UUUUUUAUUUUUUAGACAGAGUCUUGCUUUGUCAUCCAGGCUGGAGUGUAGUGGCACGAUUUCAGCUCACUGCAACCUCUGCCUUCCAGGUUCAUGUGAUUCUCCUGCCUCAGCCUCCCUAGUAGCUGGGACUACGUGUGCACCACCAUGCCUGGCUAGUUUAUUGUUUAUUUUUUAUUUUUAGUAGAUUCGGGGUUUCACCAUGUUGGCCAGGCUGGUUUCGAACUCCUAACCUCAGGUGAUCCACCCACCUCAGCCUCCCAAAGUGCUGGGAUUACAGGCAUGAGCCACUGCACCCAGCCUGGACUAGAAUUUUUAAGAACAUUCAUUUCCAUUUCUCUUGGGUAGAUACCUCAGAAUGGAACUGCAGAAUCAUCUCAUAAGUUUGUGAUCCACUUCACAAGAAAUCUGAUGUUUUCAAAUCAGGUGACUGCAUGUUAUACGCACAACAACAACAUACAAGAGAGUCACCUGCAGCACGUGCACAGCAACACUGGGGCAGCUUUAGAGGACCUGCUUGCCUUUUCCAUCUUUCUUCCCGUGAGGACACAGCAACAAGGCCCCAUCUGUGAGGAGCAGGCCCUCAUCAGACAUAGAAUCUGCUGGUGCCUUGACCUUGGAC